UCCCCGUUCACCGGGGCAGUCCCCUCAGAGUGCCCGGCAUGACCCGGUAGCAACAGAGGGCGAGGGUUGCGCUCGUUGCGGGACUUAACCCAACAUCUCACGACACGAGCUGACGACAGCCAUGCAGCACCUGUGCACAGGCCCCGAAGGGAAGGUAACUUUCGUCACCGGUCCUGCACAUGUCAAACCCAGGUAAGGUUCUUCGGGUCGCAUCGAAUUAAGCCGCAUGCUCCGCCGCUUGUGCGGGGACCCGUCAAUUCCUUUGAGUUUUAGCCUUGCGGCCGUACUCCCCAGGCGGGGCACUUAAUGCGUUAGCUUCGGCACGGCAACCGUUGGUCGGGUCGCCACACCUAGUGCCCAACGUUUACAGCGUGGACUAC
rnacentral:misc_RNA from 1 species